rnacentral:rRNA from 2 species
GUGACCUCAAAUCAGGUAGGACUACCCGCUGAACUUAAGCAUAUCAAUAAGCGGAGGAAAAGAAACUAACAAGGAUUCCCCUAGUAACUGCGAGUGAAGCGGGAAAAGCUCAAAUUUAAAAUCUGGCAGUCUCCGGCUGUCCGAGUUGUAAUCUAGAGAAGUGUUAUCCGCGUUGGACCGUGUACAAGUCUCCUGGAAUGGAGCAUCAUAGAGGGUGAGAAUCCCGUCUUUGACACGGACUGCCAGGGCUUUGUGAUGCGCUCUCAAAGAGUCGAGUUGUUUGGGAAUGCAGCUCAAAAUGGGUGGUAAAUUCCAUCUAAAGCUAAAUAUUGGCGAGAGACCGAUAGCGAACAAGUACCGUGAGGGAAAGAUGAAAAGAACUUUGGAAAGAGAGUUAAACAGUACGUGAAAUUGCUGAAAGGGAAACGCUUGAAGUCAGUCGCGUUGAUCAGGGAUCAACCUAGCUUUUGCUUGGUGCACUUUCUGGUUAAUGGGUCAGCAUCAA